UACGGAGGGUGCAAGCGUUAUCCGGAUUCACUGGGUUUAAAGGGUGCGUAGGCGGAUUGGUAAGUCCGUGGUGAAAUCCCCGAGCUUAACUUGGGAACUGCCGUGGAUACUAUCAGUCUUGAAUAUCGUGGAGGUAAGCGGAAUAUGUCAUGUAGCGGUGAAAUGCCUAGAUAUGACAUAGAACACCAAUUGCGUAGGCAGCUUACUACUCGAUCAUUGACGCUGAGGCACGAAAGCGUGGGGAGCAAACAGG
rnacentral:rRNA from 1 species